rnacentral:lncRNA from 1 species
UUAGUUUCUUUUUUUUUAUUAAGAUAUAGUUUCAAUUUCGCUACACUUGAUCAUUGUUGCAAAAGCACUCAUAAAAGAUAAAAGAAAUAACUGAUUAUCAAAAUCAUUUGCAUCCCCCCGGGGGACAAUGAUAGAUAUAGUCUUCGAGAGCUUUCUUUAGCUUCGCAAUCAAACACUCUUCCCUUGUAAUCCCUGAGCAAUCAACAAUGUCUGGUGAUGCUGUAGGAUUACUGGAAAAUGAUGCAUCUGUGGUAGAUCCUUGGCCAAUAUAAUUGGCUAAAAUAAGUCUACUUUCAGUGUUUGCCACUACGAGCAAAGCCAAGAUGAUGACUGUAAGGCUCUUCGACAUAUUUCUAUUUCUUAGGUGAAUUAUCAAUAACUUAAUUAGA